CUUUUUUGCUUCUGUAGUUGGGCCAGCGGGAGGGGGUGUUAUGGCUUGUUAUAGGCUCUUUUGUUCCCACUGCCUGGCAGCCUGGUGAGCCAGCCAGGAGUAUCACAGCUCUUUCAUUCCCACAGUUCAACAAGUGGGAGGGCCGGCACCCAAUGGCUUCUUCUCUCCCAUCAUUUGGCAAGCAAGAGGGAGAGUUACAGCUCUUUUACUCCCACUGCCUGUGGCUCAGCGAGUUCCGGGUUCUUGUCCUGUGACCAAGAGGAAUAAGUGGAAGGACUGAAGCUCAAGAAGCUAAUGAGUGGCAGAAGCUUCACUUAACCAGGUUCCUUGGAUUUUCAUCAAACUACAGCAGUUUCUUCUGUACCAUGAACCAGUUAUUCUAUUACACUACCGUGGCCAGAUCCUGGAUAGAAUUCUUUGUGGAACCAGAGGCUGAUGGAGGUUUUGCCAGCUUGAACAUGUAGUUUCCAAAAUGACUCUGGUUAUCAAUAUCCAUCCAGUAGAAGGAGAAAGAGGAAGAAGAUUGUGUGGUAGAAGACUGAAUGAGCCAGUCCUGGAGUCCCUACUACUCAUACUCCAUUGGCCGGAACUCAGUCACAUGGCCACAUCUGACCAUGAGGCAGUCUGGGAAAUGGAUUCCAGCUGUGUUCCAAUGAGGAAGCAGGUUCGAUGAAGAUCUAACCAAUCUCUCUCUCACAGAGGCGAUUUGCCACGAGAAGGACAUGGCCUGGUGGCUACUGCACCUUCAGCUUCCGCACACAUAAAUACAUAUGGAACACACCGGACCUAGUCUCCAGCCUGGAGCCAUGCCUACAGCAUGGCUGAAGCAUGAAGCAGGGCUAACUGGCCACAUUCAACCUCCAUCAGCUGAAGCACAAUACACCUGCAAACCUAUGAGUCUGAGAAUAAAGGCUUGUUAUUGAAAGCCACUAAGAUUUGGGGUGGUUUGUUAUCCAACAUUCUGAUGGCAACAGCAGUAAUAGAUCACCAGGUCUUUGUGAUUUUGCUUUUAAAUAAAUUCACUAAUUCUAAA
rnacentral:lncRNA from 1 species